UACGUAGGGUGCGAGCGUUGUCCGGAAUCACUGGGCGUAAAGGGCGCGUAGGCGGCUCGGUAAGUAGGGGGGUGAAAUCCUGCGGCUUAACCGCAGGGCUGCCUUCUAAACUGUCGAGCUUGAGCACGGUAGAGGCAGAUGGAAUUCCCGGUGUAGCGGUGGAAUGCGUAGAGAUCGGGGAAGAACACCGGUGGCGAAGGCGGCGACCUGGUCCGUUACUGACGCUGAGGCGCGACAGCGUGGGGAGCAAACAGG
rnacentral:rRNA from 1 species